rnacentral:rRNA from 1 species
AACGAACGCUGGCGGCAUGCCUAACACAUGCAAGUCGAACGAGAUCUUCGGGUCUAGUGGCGCACGGGUGCGUAACGCGUGGGAAUCUGCCCUUUGGUUCGGAAUAACAGUUGGAAACGACUGCUAAUACCGGAUGAUGACGAAAGUCCAAGGAUUUAUCGCCAGAGGAUGAGCCCGCGUAGGAUUAGCUAGUUGGUGUGGUAAAGGCGCACCAAGGCGACGAUCCUUAGCUGGUCUGAGAGGAUGAUCAGCCACACUGGGACUGUGACACGGCCCAGACUCCUACGGGAGGCAGCAGUGGGGAAUAUUGGACAAUGGGCGAAAGCCUGAUCCAGCAAUGCCGCGUGAGUGAUGAAGGCCUUAGGGUUGUAAAGCUCUUUUACCCGGGAUGAUAAUGACAGUACCGGGAGAAUAAGCUCCGGCUAACUCCGUGCCAGCAGCCGCAGUAA